AAGUCGUAACAAGGUUUCCGUAGGUGAACCUGCGGAAGGAUCAUUAGUGAACGCCCUCACGGGCUUAUAACUAUUCCAAACCUCUGUGAACCGUGCCCUUCGGGGCUAUUUUACAAACAUGGUGUAAUGAACGUCAUAUAUCAUAACAAAACAAAACUUUCAACAACGGAUCUCUUGGCUCUCGCAUCGAUGAAGAACGCAGCGAAAUGCGAUAAGUAAUGUGAAUUGCAGAAUUCAGUGAAUCAUCGAAUCUUUGAACGCACCUUGCGCCCUCUGGUAUUCCGGAGGGCAUGCCUGUUUGAGUGUCAUGUAGACUCAAUCCCUCGGGUUUCCGAGGAGAUGGGACUUGGGUGUUGCCGCUCUGCCGGCUCGCCUUAAAAGACUUAGCGGGAUAGCACCGUAGUCGGCGUAAUAAGUUUCGUCGGUGAAGGUUGUGAUGACUGCUUACAAUCGCCCUCGGGCAAUUUUUGACUCUGACCUCAAAUCAGGUAGGACUACCCGCUGAACUUAAGCAUAUCAAUAAGCGGAGGAAAAGAAACUAACAAGGAUUCCCCUAGUAACUGCGAGUGAAGCGGGAAAAGCUCAAAUUUAAAAUCUGGUGGCCUUUGGCCAUCCGAGUUGUAAUUUAGAGAA
rnacentral:misc_RNA from 1 species